rnacentral:rRNA from 1 species
GAUGAACGCUAGCGGCAGGCCUAAUACAUGCAAGACGAACGGCAAGAAUUGUAGCAAUACGGUUCCUAGAGUGUCGCACGGGUGCGUAACACGUAUGCAACCUACCUUGUACAGGAGUAUAGCUCGGGGAAACUCGAAUUAACCCUCCAUAAUAUAAUCGGAUGGCAUCAUUUGAUUAUUAAAACUUCGGUGGUACAAGAUGGGCAUGCGUUUGAUUAGCUAGUUGGCGGGGUAAAGGCCCACCAAGGCGAUGAUCAAUAGGGGAACUGAGAGGUUGAUCCCCCACACUGGCGCUGAGAUACGGGCCAGACUCCUACGGGAGGCAGCAGUAGGGAAUAUUGGUCAAUGGAUGGAAGUCUGAACCAGCCAUGCCGCGUGCAGGAAGAAGGCCUUCUGGGUUGUAAACUGCUUUUGCCAGGGGAUAAAAAUUCUUUGCGAAGAAAAUUGAAGGUACCUGGUGAAUAAGCACCGGCUAACUCCGUGCCAGCAGCCGCCGUAA